rnacentral:lncRNA from 1 species
CAAUCCUUUAGGCCUUACCAGGACUGCUCUGCCACAUGCAUGGGGGACCUGGAAAAGAAGUAAUGAUGAGGGGCUGCCACUGGGGUUGGUGUCAAGACUGUCCUGCUGCCCAGGCUCCGUCCUGGCCUUGUCCCUCCCUACUUUGACACUGGGGUGCCUCUUCCUUGCUCCCUGAAGACACAAGCCUUUUCCUUUUCUCUCCCAAAUCAGGCCCGUUUCUUCAUCAGUUCUGGGGCACUUGUGUAGGGAUUGGGCAGGUGCCAAAUGGGCGUGUUGUGAUGUGGAUGUGGACCGCAGCCUCUGCAUAUCUGCAAGUGUCUGGGGGUGAUUGUCUCCAACCAAGCCACCAUAGAGAGGGCAACAGCUCUGAGAGGGAGAAGGGGUUAAGAAAGACAACAGAUAACUCAACUUCCCUUCAUGGAACCUGUUUGCAGCCAUGUCCUGCUGUCCUGGAGCACCAUCUCCCUCAUUCUGCCUCACCAGGCCACUGGCCCUCCUGCCUGCCCAGCUUCUCUGCUCCACAUUUGGGUCUUGCUCUGACAAUGGGUUGGAAGCUGUGGGGCUCUCCUGUGUGUCUUUCUUGUACCAUGAGCCCAGCUCCCAGUGAGGGGUGGAGACCAGCUCAGUCUUCACAACUCAACCUUCAGUUCCCAGUCAUGGUGGCUGCAGGGAGUCAAGACAGUUACAGGAGACGGAAGCACCAUGCAAUUCCAGCCAAAAGAACUGGACUAAAGACAGAGUGAGGUCCUUGCCAGCCUGGGGAUUCAUGUGCUCAGUUGGUGUCUGCAGCCUGGAGUCCCCUGCUUGAUGUGGGUUCAUGGUCUUCUGGUGGACAAGUUUGCCUUGAAGUGUCAGAAAUACUGUGAGGGCCACCCCCCAGACUGCUCUUCGGAAGGGUCUGGGGCACCUGGCUGCCCUCUCGGAAGGUCACCAACGGUGAGGAUGCAGCUGUUGUCCUGGAGCCUCUGACUUCCAUCCAAAGGACCCCACGUGCCUUCUGGCCAGCUUCGUGCAGACACACGCUGAGUACAGUGGUCAGCCUGGUGCAAGGCCCCAGAGGAGCAAGUGUGUCCAGGAGGAGACAAGACCAGUGCACAGUGGCGCCUCUUGGCUGAAUGUAUUUAUUCCUGUGACUCAGGCUGCAGUGUUCCUGGCUUGGAAAGAGCCAGGAACUCAGUGAUGAGCUUGCUGCUUCACAUGCUGGGCAUGGGCGGCCUCCAGGCUUGGACUUCCCUUGCAAGAGCAGGGCCUUCUGCCCCUGCCCACCUGGUUGCCAGUGUGGGUGGCUGUGACUAGCCAUGGAUCUUCCCUCUGGGGAUGGCUGUCUCAGCUGCUGGGCUCCAGCUGUCUGCAGGCUUGAUAAAUACCAAAUUGCACGUGUGGGGUUCUUCUUCCCAAGCCCUUGGGCAUGGGGUCUCUGUGCACUUAAGAGCUGGGGACCCACCUGCAUCUCACCCCAUUCCUCCCAGAGCAUGGGUCCCCCUGGGUGGCCGGCCCCUGCCUGCAAAGCCACCUUGUCCAGGAGAUGCUGCUAUGAAUUGCCAGUACUGUGAGGAGGAGGUGAAGGGUAGACCUUGAAAACAGCGCAACGUUAAGAGGAGAAACUGGCACUGCUGUUUGUAAGAGUGCAUUCCUUCCCCUUUCUGUCACUUUAUAGACCAAAAAG